UCUUGCAGAGAACACGGAUUUGGUUCUCAGAGCUCACAAUGGUAACUAUGGCUCUAUGGACUUUUGUAUGUGUGCAGGUUCAUUGUGUAUGCCUGGUACCUGAGGUCACAACAGGGCAUUGGAUCUCCUGGAACUGGAGAUGGUUGUGAGCUGCUAUGGGUGCUAUGGAUGACCCUGGGUUCUCUUCAAGAGCAAUAAAUGGGCUAACAGAUGAACCAUCUCUCCAGCUCCCCCCUUCUGCUGUGGGGGCAUUGCGCAGAGACCCGGAUUUCCUCACAUGCUGUGGGUUUUCUGUGAAAAGGGAAUACUCUGGUAAGCACCCCAGCUGACUCCUCUAAUUGAGUCAGUGGAGUCAAUCUCCUGCAUCACUGCAACUCUAUCCGGAGAACUCAAUUCCUGGCCCUGCAGAGCUGAAGAGCAAAGUCUGUAGCAGUUGUUCCACCAAAAAUGUUGCUUACUCUUGGCACAGACUCCGAGGUGUUGGAACUAGAGGCAUGCUCCAGCACACCAGGCUAAAGACAACAGAAAAACCCUGCAGCUGCAACAGCAGAGGCCAGUGGACUCCGUGGAUGUGGGACGUACACGAACUGUGUUCUACAACUCAAUAUACAUGCAAAGCAUUCCCAGCAGGGCCAGGUGUCCCACAAAUGUGUUUUUAUCUUGUAGGCACUUGGUGGGUUGACUGUAAGGUUGGAGGGAAAUGGGGUGUUAAGGACAACCUCCAGGCUCUGGCUCUGAAUAGUAUGUCAAGUGAGUGCCAACAAAAUGAAAACAGAGGAGAGGAUGA